rnacentral:rRNA from 1 species
GACGAACGCUGGCGGCGUGCCUAAUACAUGCAAGUUGAGCGCUGAAGGUUGGUACUUGUACCAACUGGAUGAGCAGCGAACGGGUGAGUAACGCGUGGGGAAUCUGCCUUUGAGCGGGGGACAACAUUUGGAAACGAAUGCUAAUACCGCAUAAAAACUUUAAACACAAGUUUUAAGUUUGAAAGAUGCAAUUGCAUCACUCAAAGAUGAUCCCGCGUUGUAUUAGCUAGUUGGUGAGGUAAAGGCUCACCAAGGCGAUGAUACAUAGCCGACCUGAGAGGGUGAUCGGCCACAUUGGGACUGAGACACGGCCCAAACUCCUACGGGAGGCAGCAGUAGGGAAUCUUCGGCAAUGGACGAAAGUCUGACCGAGCAACGCCGCGUGAGUGAAGAAGGUUUUCGGAUCGUAAAACUCUGUUGGUAGAGAAGAACGUUGGUGAGAGUGGAAAGCUCAAGUGACGGUAACUACCCAGAAAGGGACGGCUAACUACGUG